CAGCAGCCGCGGGAAUACGUAGGGCGCAAGCGUUAUCCGGAAUUAUUGGGCGUAAAGAGCUCGUAGGCGGUUUGUCGCGUCUGCCGUGAAAGUCCGGGGCUCAACCCCGGAUCUGCGGUGGGUACGGGCAGACUAGAGUGAUGUAGGGGAGACUGGAAUUCCUGGUGUAGCGGUGAAAUGCGCAGAUAUCAGGAGGAACACCGAUGGCGAAGGCAGGUCUCUGGGCAUUAACUGACGCUGAGGAGCGAAAGCAUGGGGAGCGAACAGGAUUAGAUACCCGAGUAGUCCCUGUCUCUUAUAC
rnacentral:rRNA from 1 species